UCGCUCAGGUCUCCCAGCAUCGAGGAAUAUGCGUUUCGCCUUUUACCAAACGCAUCCGUGCUGGGGGACACUUACAAUGAGCCUAAAUGGUCAAUCCAUAUCAAGCGGUAGCGCUC
rnacentral:snRNA from 1 species